AAGCCAGCCAAUGAGUCUGCUUACUUGAAUGUGUUUCUGCAUACAUUUAGAGAAAGCUGGCGAUAAUAAAGCCACGUUUCGAGCCUUAAAAACAUUAAAGUCGUGGAGGUCCCUGACAAUGGCUAUGAGG